UAACCAAGAGGAAAACAAACCAGCCUCCUCCUCCUGGGCUGAGAUUUGACAAGUGUGGGGCGGCCCCGGGGCGGUGCUGGGUGAGAUGGGGCACUCCCUGCUCCAUCUUUUAUCCGUGUUAUCGGCGUGCUGAGGGCAGACGGGCACUGCCAGCACAGCAGCAGUCCUGCAAGCACAGCAGCAGCGAUGCCAAUUGAAAUCAAAAAAGUGGUUAUUGGGGCCACCGCUGGAGUAGGAGUGGCACUCUUUGGUGUCCCAGCAGUCGUCUCUGUGCUGGGGUUUAAGGCGGGCGGCAUCGCUGCGGGGUCCAUAGCUGCCACGAUGAUGUCGGUGGCUGCCAAAGCCAACAACGGAGGAGUGGCUGCAGGCAGCACUGUGGCCGUGCUGCAGUCGAUCGGAGCUGCAGGACUCCCUGUUGGUGCCAAAUUUUAGCUGUCAUCAGCCCUGGGGACACUCGGUGGAAUAAUUGGUGCCAAGUGGUUUUAGGGGAG